AUCUACAGCACAGUCAUAGA
rnacentral:snRNA from 1 species